rnacentral:rRNA from 1 species
AUACGGAGGGUGCAAGCGUUACUCGGAAUCACUGGGCGUAAAGCGCGCGCAGGCGGGUGAUAAAGUCAGAAGUGAAAGCCUACGGCUUAACCGUAGAACUGCUUCUGAAACUCAUCACCUAGAGUCUGGGCGAGGUAGCUGGAAUUAGUGGUGUAGGGGUAAAAUCCGCAGAGAUCACUAGGAAUACCAAAAGCGAAGGCAAGCUACUGGAACAGUACUGACGCUGAGGCGCGAAAGCGUGGGGAGCAAACAGGAGUAGAAACCCUAGUAGUCC